CGGACGCUGGCGGCGUGCUUAACACAUGCAAGUCGAACGGAAAGGCCCCAGCUUGCUGGGGUACUCGAGUGGCGAACGGGUGAGUAACACGUGGGUGAUCUGCCCUGCACUCUGGGAUAAGCCUGGGAAACUGGGUCUAAUACCGGAUAGGACCGUGCUUUAGUGUGUGCGGUGGAAAGUUUUUCGGUGCAGGAUGAGCCCGCGGCCUAUCAGCUUGUUGGUGGGGUAAUGGCCUACCAAGGCGGCGACGGGUAGCCGGCCUGAGAGGGUGUACGGCCACAUUGGGACUGAGACACGGCCCAGACUCCUACGGGAGGCAGCAGUGGGGAAUAUUGCACAAUGGGCGCAAGCCUGAUGCAGCGACGCCGCGUGGGGGAUGACGGCCUUCGGGUUGUAAACCCCUUUCGGCAGGGACGAAGCUUUUGUGACGGUACCUGCAUAAGAAGCACCGGCUAACUACGUG
rnacentral:rRNA from 1 species